rnacentral:rRNA from 1 species
UUAUGGCUCAGGAUGAACGCUGGCGGCGUGCCUAACACAUGCAAGUCGAGCGAUUACUUCGGUAAAGAGCGGCGACGGGUGAGUAACGCGUGGGUAACCUGCCUCAUACACAUGGAUAACAUACCGAAAGGUAUGCUAAUACAGGAUAAUAUAAGAGAUUCACAUGGAUUUUUUAUCAAAGCUCCGGCGGUAUGAGAUGGACCCGCGUCUGAUUAGCUAGUUGGUAAGGUAAUGGCUUACCAAGGCGACGAUCAGUAGCCGACCUGAGAGGGUGAUCGGCCACAUUGGAACUGAGACACGGUCCAAACUCCUACGGGAGGCAGCAGUGGGGAAUAUUGCACAAUGGGCGAAAGCCUGAUGCAGCAACGCCGCGUGAGUGAUGAAGGCCUUCGGGUCGUAAAACUCUGUCCUCAAGGAAGAUAAUGACGGUACUUGAGGAGGAAGCCCCGGCUAACUACGUGCCAGCCGCGGC